UCUUGAGUGAGAUGGGCGCACAACCCCAGAGUCUGUCAAGACUGGCCCGUACGGGCAGGGGUACCUUUUACUUUAAUCCAACACUGGCACUAGAAGAGAAUUGGAAUAGCACAAUGCAGUUUACCAGUGGUAGGGUGGGUGAGCAGGGCAAUUAAUGAGAGGCCAGGCCAGGGACAUCACUUGAAGCAGAUUCAACUUGCUCUGGUUUGCUUCCCAUCCUCCUCCCUUGUACAGCAGACACUUAAGCAAUUCUCAGACCCUGGGGUGCUGUGGGAAAUUAAAUGUGGCUAGACACAGCCACUGUGCUGCUUGGAACAUUGCCCUAAGAAUCAGACAAGCCUUUCUGAUGAAAAACAGCCCAACCAAAGGACAGUUUCAGGUUCGUUCACAAGUGUGAACAGUAACCCAGUCCCUUGCUCCAAGCAAACAAAACAGAAUGAGACAGAAAAUGCAUGUGCUGCCUAACUGUAAAUAAAAUCUCCCAAGAGGUUUGUGGAGAAUAUAAAGUAUACAUUAAAAUUGUCAUUAAAAAUCAGAAUUAACAGUUGUUGGUUUUUUUUAAAAAAAAACAACAGUUGAAAAUGAAGAGUGGACUUCACCAUUGUACUAUUCUGAAUGUUCAGGCUGCAUGAGCAUUUCGGCUUGCUAAACAGAAUGAUCCCCACUCUCUUAUUUGCCCAAGUGGUGGAGCAUCUCCCGAACCCAAACCACAGAGGGAGGAUGGGGAACAGCCCCAUUGUCCAAUAAGAAGUCCUUGCACAGGGCUUCUGCUUAUAGAUCUCCUUAGUUGAAUUUUGCCCAUACAUUAUCAGCUAAAAUACAUGUCAACUUUAAGUCAUGGUCUACCUUUACAUUUGGGGAGGGGGGUAUCCCUAAGCGGCUUACAAGUAUCCUACCGUAAGUAUUGCAGUGAACAUUCAGAAAAGACUAAAUAUAUUAUUAAAAUGUCCGCAGUUGGGCCUAAGGCAGGGGAUGGAAGAGACACAGGGAGCUGCAGGUGUUGGGUUACAGCUCCCAUCUGUCCCGACUAUAUGCCAAGCUGGCUGAAGCUGAUGGGAUUUGGGCUUCAACCUCCAGAGGACCACGGGGUUUCCCACCCCAGCCUAAGGCGCACUGGUAUGCAAUUAUACGUUUUACACAGUCCUCUGUCAUGAAGGAGGGAGGCAGGCAGUUGGAAUAGUUUAACAAAUUUCCUGCUUCUCUCUUCUCGGUAAGCAGACCAGGAGCGGUUGCCUAGCAACCCCAGUGCUCACUUUCUUUCCCCGGAAGAGGCCUAAGGGCAGCAGCAAUUAGUGUGACCAGAUGAAGAGAAAGAUGGGACUCCUGUGCUUUUAAUAGGUGUGGAGAAGAGGGAAUUUUAGCAGAUGCAGCUUGUCAGAUAGGGGUGAGGGAAAGUUACACCUGCUGGAAAUCCCUCUCCUCUACCACCGCUAAAGGUACACAGGCCCUUUCCUCCUUUGCAUCUGAUCACUCUAGCAACAAUCUGGUUCCUGAGGUUUGAGAGCCCACAGAUUUCACAUAGCUAUCUCUGGAAAAAAACAAAGGGGUCACUCAUUUCUUUGUACAUGUGCCUUAGGGAAACCCAUCUGCCAGUAGUUUUCAGAGUUAUCCACCUUGGUACUGGAGGAAGCAAACACAUAUCUGAUUAAAAAGAUAGCUCACAGCUGGCGUUGCCAACUUGUAGCUGUGUUGUAGCUGUGUCUUUAGCAGGUAUUAGUGACAAUGUUUAUCUCCAUGCUAUGAGAAGCAUAGCUGUUGAUUCCUCUAUGGGCACAUUCCCCCCACCCCACCCGUUCUGCCAGUGUAGGUUCUAGGGUCCAACUUAACUGUGGACAGGCAUGGGAACAUAUAACCAGGGCUUUUUUGUGACCCAUUCAAAGGUUAUGAAAGUGGAUAGGUGUUUCCAUAUUUUCAGGGCCUGGGGACUGAAUUUCAAUGGUGGGAGAAGUUAAACUCAUGACUUCUAAGGCAGUCAGCCCUCAUUUUUUAAAAGCUUUGCUAGGAGCUACGGGGGGGGGGGACCAAUUUCUUCCCAGAAUGCUGCUGAGGAUGACAAUAUGUCACAAUGAAACAUUUUUCUGAGGCAAUAUUGGAAAAUAUAAAUGGUGGAGGCCAGCCAACAAAACACAGCACGAAUCCUUGUAACAGCUCUUCCCACACUGCUGAACUUCUCCCUGAUCUUCUGAAAGGCAAAAAGCAGAAGGGAGAGACGCCCCCUUUCUUCAUCAACAACCCCUACACCCCUCAAAAAUGGGUGAAAGUUCUCAAAGGCGAAAAAAUCAGGAGAGCCAAUCACAGAUAUCAUGUGCUAUGUAUGUUUUGGCCAUAUAACAUAUUUAGUUGUCUAAAGAUUCAUCUUGUGCAGCACCACAUGUCACUCACUACCAGUCAUAUCCCUCACUUUUAUUAUAGAAAAACAUCAUUUGGGUGCCAAUUUACUCUCACCUAGGCAAGGAUCCAGCAUGUGCUGCCCACCACCCUCAAACAAACACCCAAUUCAUCAAUUAUGUUUGUGUCUCUGGCCAUUUUUCUGCCAAGUGACUAUGUGAACCACCCUUAAAAGUCUACAUCUGUUCUUGGCUAAGCUCCAGACUGGUGAAGAUGUGGAACUCAUGAAUCAAGUCCCUUAGGUGAACCACAGGCUAUGGAUACAUUGAUUACUGGUAUUCCACUCCAAAAGCCACCAGCGCCUCAUAUACCAGCCUGCAGCAGAGUCUCAUCAGCACCAGUGGCACUCUUCACUGGUGGAGAAAAACAUGAGCUCCAUCCCCAUUCAACCACCAACAGAGAGGCUUAGAAUUGCACUCUCAAAAAAUUGCUGUUACCCAAUUAAUCCACUAGAUCAGGGUAGGCAACCUGAUGUUCUGAACUUCAACUGAUAAGUGUGUAUAAUGAACAAAUUAUUGCCGGGGUUUUGUUUUGUUUUAAAGAAAAGACUGGGGCAGAGCUCUGCCAUGUUGCACAAGACAUUAAACUAUUGAGUCUAUUUAAUCGAAUAGCAGGGGGUGCACAAAAUAGCUUGAUUUCUUCAUUAAAAUUGGUGAACCGGUUGCUUUGCACAAGGAACAAACGUAGUAGUAGCCUGCCAUGUUGAUCAGUAGUCCAAAAUAAUAUCCAAACAUUCUACCCUGCAACUUGCCCCUUUCCAAAGCAGAAACAAUGCACAAUUCAUCAAGGUGUCAAGUCUUACAACUGAGAACCAUGCACACAUAAGUCAGAUCUCUUGCCUUUAAACAGGAAACCAAUUACAGUGUGAGGAUCAGGGGUGGUGGGGAGGAAGCAUGUGAAAUAUGGUUACAGAAAAUCAUACCUUCACAAAAAUGCUGUAACUUCUCUAGUUGAUAAAUGUCCCAAACAUGUUGAAAUGCAAUAAAAUGUUAGAUUUUUUAUUAUUAUUAUUAUUAUUAUUAUUAUUAUUAUUAUUUCACAUUAAGCAAAAUUUUAUUUCAUUGGUGCUUCUUUCCUGUGAUUUUUGUUGUCAUUAGCAUGAGUGAAAUAAGACACAUAAUGGGAAUGUUUUAAUGAAGAAAGACAGACACACUACUGCAGCUAAAGAACAGCUGUGGAGGACAUAUUUUCUAUUUCUGCCAGGGCAAUGCGGAAAAAGAGAUUGUGUGUGUGCCUGUGUUUGUAAUGCACACACUCACAUAUAUAGAAGGUGAUUCCAAUGGGUCUACUCUGAGUUUGACCAGCAUUCGAUAUCACAAAUAUAUGUGUGUAGAUCCUAACCAAGUAAGGCAGAUGACCAGUGAGGAAUCCCUUUUAACAUGUAGCAGUUCUGAUUACACUGAAAUAAAUCAGAAUUACCAGGCAAUACUUCAAAUUAAUGCUAAGGACAUAAAAAAAAUCCUUUGAUAAUUCUCAUCAGAAAGCAAAACAGUGAUCAACAAGUUCAUAGAAACUUAGUGAUUUUUUCUGCUAUCACAUAAGUAUUUUUUUUUCCUUUAGUUGCUUUCUGUAUAUAUAGUUCACUGGAUAUUAUAAGAAAUCAAGUGUAUUCAUUCUCUCUAGAAACCCCAGUCUACUUAUUUUUAAAUCUUUUGCUAUAAUUUUUGAAAACCUGGCUUUGUCUAGCUUCCAAGAGCAUGGAGGACCAAAAAUUAUGUAAAAUGUCUUUGCUAUCCUAGGCUCAUACUCUGAUUUUAUAUUUAGAGUAUGGCUUUAAAUAGGAAGUGUUGAUAAUUUGUUUAUUUGCUUCACUACAUUUGCGGGCAAAAUGGAAGUGUCUGUUUGUAGGGUUCUCGUUAAGACUGGUCCACAUGUGUUCAUUCAUCACUUGGAUGACUAGAACAAUGAAUGGGCCAUCAUCACAGAUGUGUUGUUUAUAUGCCAAAUAAAAAGCAGUGUUAUCAA